AAAUUGAAGAGUUUGAUCAUGGCUCAGAUUGAACGCUGGCGGCAGGCCUAACACAUGCAAGUCGAGCGGUAGCACAGAGAGCUUGCUCUCGGGUGACGAGCGGCGGACGGGUGAGUAAUGUCUGGGAAACUGCCUGAUGGAGGGGGAUAACUACUGGAAACGGUAGCUAAUACCGCAUAAUGUCGCAAGACCAAAGUGGGGGACCUUCGGGCCUCAUGCCAUCAGAUGUGCCCAGAUGGGAUUAGCUAGUAGGUGGGGUAACGGCUCACCUAGGCGACGAUCCCUAGCUGGUCUGAGAGGAUGACCAGCCACACUGGAACUGAGACACGGUCCAGACUCCUACGGGAGGCAGCAGUGGGGAAUAUUGCACAAUGGGCGCAAGCCUGAUGCAGCCAUGCCGCGUGUGUGAAGAAGGCCUUCGGGUUGUAAAGCACUUUCAGCGGGGAGGAAGGCGUUAAGGUUAAUAACCUUGGCGAUUGACGUUACCCGCAGAAGAAGCACCGGCUAACUCCGUGCCAGCAGCCGCGGUAAUACGGAGGGUGCAAGCGUUAAUCGGAAUUACUGGGCGUAAAGCGCACGCAGGCGGUCUGUCAAGUCGGAUGUGAAAUCCCCGGGCUCAACCUGGGAACUGCAUUCGAAACUGGCAGGCUAGAGUCUUGUAGAGGGGGUAGAAUUCCAGGUGUAGCGGUGAAAUGCGUAGAGAUCUGGAGGAAUACCGGUGGCGAAGGCGGCCCCUGGACAAAGACUGACGCUCAGGUGCGAAAGCGUGGGGAGCAAACAGGAUUAGAUACCCUGGUAGUCCACGCCGUAAACGAUGUCGAUUUGGAGGUUGUGCCCUUGAGGCGUGGCUUCCGGAGCUAACGCGUUAAAUCGACCGCCUGGGGAGUACGGCCGCAAGGUUAAAACUCAAAUGAAUUGACGGGGGCCCGCACAAGCGGUGGAGCAUGUGGUUUAAUUCGAUGCAACGCGAAGAACCUUACCUGGUCUUGACAUCCACAGAACUUUCCAGAGAUGGAUUGGUGCCUUCGGGAACUGUGAGACAGGUGCUGCAUGGCUGUCGUCAGCUCGUGUUGUGAAAUGUUGGGUUAAGUCCCGCAACGAGCGCAACCCUUAUCCUUUGUUGCCAGCGGUCCGGCCGGGAACUCAAAGGAGACUGCCAGUGAUAAACUGGAGGAAGGUGGGGAUGACGUCAAGUCAUCAUGGCCCUUACGACCAGGGCUACACACGUGCUACAAUGGCAUAUACAAAGAGAAGCGACCUCGCGAGAGCAAGCGGACCUCAUAAAGUAUGUCGUAGUCCGGAUUGGAGUCUGCAACUCGACUCCAUGAAGUCGGAAUCGCUAGUAAUCGUAGAUCAGAAUGCUACGGUGAAUACGUUCCCGGGCCUUGUACACACCGCCCGUCACACCAUGGGAGUGGGUUGCAAAAGAAGUAGGUAGCUUAACCUUCGGGAGGGCGCUUACCACUUUGUGAUUCAUGACUGGGGUGAAGUCGUAACAAGGUAACCGUAGGGGAACCUGCGGUUGGAUCACCUCCUUACCUUAAAGAA
rnacentral:rRNA from 1 species